CUUGUUUUGAGAAGUUAUUAGUUGGUGUGGCGUCUUAAAGUAGUUUAUAAUUUUUUCCCCCCAAAACUUAACACUAUAACGUAAUGUGUGUAGUGAGGUGAAUAUUGGGUAUAUCUCUGAACUGCUAUGAUAUAAGCCUGCCAGGACUUCCUCUAAGUGCGAAAACGAUAAGUGUAGACCCAAGAGCCCCAGACCACAUGGACAGAAGGCAGCAGCAAGUUAAGAAAAAAAAAAAAGAUCAAAAUAUUAACUUCAGUUUCCAGAACCGGAGUCAGAUAUUAACACCAGGUCAGCAAUCAAGUCUACACAUACUUCAGACAGCUACAUAGUGAUGUGGUGGUGCUGCAGCUGUAUGCUGACCCAGAGGCCAAAAAGGAAAGCAGUGUUACUACAGUCAGUGAUGUCUUGAACUUUGCAUACAACUUAACACUAAGCAGAUUUCAGAAUUGUAUUGGCAGUGUUUAUCCAUUAUGGGUUGCAGAUGGAUAUGGGACCUUUAAAUUCAGUUUUAAACAGCAGUGUACUACUUUCAGCCAUCAUGUCAAUGCAAGUAAUUUGAAGACAUAUUUAAGACGAGAGACAUCAAUAGUGUCAAAUGAUUUAUUCCAUUACUUGUCAAGUACAUUUUAUAUGCAAUCUUUGACAGUAAAAUUUUGCAUUUGUACAAACUGUCAGUUCUGGUUGACCAAUUUGAAAACAGGUUUCAGUUGGCACAAUUAAUGCUAGAGACAUUGAAAUAGUCAGAUUUUAUUUCAUUGCUGGCUGCUAGACAUUUACUUUAUACAGUUUAUAAAUUGUCAGAUGACUUUAUUGCAUUGCUCUCCCAUUACAUGUACAGUUCUAUAUGCAUGUUUCACAUUUGUAUAAACUGCCAGGUGCACUUGAAUUGUCAUUUCAUGUGAAAGACAUUGGAAAUUGUCAUUUAAUUAUUCCUUUGCUGGCUACCAGAUGAACAUUUCCAACUGCAGUCUUCAACAAUAAAAAGUGUUUCACUUGUAAAAA